CUCAGAGAUCGAGUCGCCGUUUUGAUGGCGGCGGACUCGUUUUUGAGUCCCGGGGAGUCCUCCUUCCCUGGCUCCAAAGUGACGGUCUUGCGGCCCCAUGUUGAACCGAGAACAUGAUAACGUAGCACGCGCUGUUCCGGGGAUCCAAAACUGAGGCUAGCCUUGAACUUCCAAGAU
rnacentral:misc_RNA from 1 species